rnacentral:lncRNA from 1 species
GGGCAGCCCCUCUGAGACCCCGCGGCUUGGGGUCCGCGCACGCGGGUGCCGGCCCAGCUAGGCGGAGAAUCGAGGAGGGGUUCCCGGGCUCAUCGCAGAGGAUUGGAAGGGCCUAGAUUACUGCCCAAUGACAAAAGUGUGGGCUUAAUGUCCUCACUCUUCAGGGAGAGAAUGUGGACUUUAGCAUUUGAACUGAAUAUUUGAGAUUGAAGAUUUCUGAAUACAUUCCCAAAGUCAGAAAUAUUUUAUCUUGAAGGGCAUGAAACGAAAUAGCACCAAAACAAAUGCUCCCAAAGGCAGCAGCACCCUCUCAGGCAGUACCAAAGCCAGAUCCCCCUUAGCACCUCUGGUACUGUACCGUACCUUGCCUUUCUGUCCAGGUUUGGUGGAAUUGACCUAUAUAUAAAUGGUAUAAAGAG